rnacentral:rRNA from 1 species
GUCUUUUUGAAUUAAAUUUAAAGUCUAACCUGCCCACUGAAAAUUUUAAAUGGCCGCAGUAUUCUAACUGUGCAAAGGUAGCAUAAUCAUUAGUCUUUUAAUUGAAGGCUGGAAUGAAUGGUUGGACGAAAUAUUAACUGUUUCAUUUAAAUUUUUUAUAGAAUUUUAUUUUUUAGUCAAAAAGCUAAAAUAAAUUUAAAAGACGAGAAGACCCUAUAAAUCUUUAUAUUUUGUUUAUUUUAAUUAUAUAGAUUAUAUUUAUUAUAAUAAAUUAAAAUAUUUUAUUGGGGUGAUAUUAAAAUUUAAAAAACUUUUAAUUUUUAAAACCAUUAAUUUAUGAAUAAUUGAUCCAUUAAUAAUGAUUAAAAAUUUAAGUUACUUUAGGGAUAACAGCGUAAUUUUUUUGGAGAGUUCAUAUCGAUAAAAAAGAUUGCGACCUCGAUGUUGGAUUAAGAUAUAAUUUUGGGUGUAGCCGUUCAAAUUUUAAGUCUGUUCGACUUUUAAAUUCUU